rnacentral:tRNA from 1 species
GGCGACGUAGCCAAGUGGUAAGGCAGCGGUCUGCAAAAUCGCUAUCACCGGUUCAAUUCCGGUCGUCGCCU